UGUAGAGCUGAGUAUGAACCUAAGAGGUGCUGGAAUCAGGACACUGUGGGCUUAAUGUUGUGUAAUAUGUGGUGAAGAAUAGACUAGAAGACUCCCUAAGUAAAAACAUCAGAUCCUUAAGAUGGAAGCUCUGUAUUCUCUGUUUUCCUUUUUUCACAUUUUCACAGAAUAAUACUCUAUUCUGAUGUCUGGAUCAGCCAUUAACACUGACUGAUGAUUUUGUUUUCUGUAAUGAAUGGCCCUGCACAUAUUUAUUUAUUCAUUAGGGGUUUAAUGAUUAUUUAAUAUGCACAAAAUACUAUGCAACGUACAAAAGGAAGGUGUGCCCUUAUGGAGUUCCUGGAUAUGGAGAAAGAUAAGAAGAGAAUUCUUCAUUAGCAUUCACAGCAGAAGAGCAGAACAUGUUCAAGAAGGCUUUGGGGAGGCUCUUCAGAGGAACUGCCUGUGGGGCAGUGAAAGGCAGCCUGUUUUGGUUGAACGAGGCGUGUUCCAGAGACCCAGUUGAAAACUCUACAAGGGACAGAACAGUGAGCCACGUUCCCAGUGACAGUCUCCCCAGGGUCAACAGUGCAGCUUCCUCUGACCAGCACUUCCUGUCUACCCAUCAACCUGGAGUCCCUCCUUCCCGCCAUCUUCAAAGUCAAAGAAGCCUCCAUUAUCUUUCUUUUCUGGCCUUAGAGUCUGACUUCCAGUGCAUCUGAAUCUUAUCGAUGUGCAUCUAUCCACCAAGCAACUGAAUCCCAGCACCCAAUCUUACACACACCACCACCACCACCACCACCACCACCACCACCACCACUACCACCACUCCUUCCACUUGCUUAGGGAUUGAGUUUAUUCUUCAGAGAGCAAGAAGAUGACAAGAGGUGAGCAUGUUUUCUGAACUUCACCUUGUAAUUCUCAGCAAGAGGUAGCAAAUCAAAUGCUUGAGGAUUUUUACUCUCCAGGAUUCCACUCACAGCUCAGACCAGCAGUCAACCAAAGGAACUUUGGAAUGAAAGUGGUCUGAUUAACUGGUGCUGGAAACAAACACAGAGGUAAACCAAUAUUUAGAUUUCAGGGCAAAGAUCUACAGAGCAGAGAUUUUUAAAAAUCAGACUGAGUGAAAUUUAGAGAUUUAAAAAAAAAUUUAAUGGCUGUCUUCAUGCAUGAAAAAUGAAGUGGCUUGUAACUCAGCAAAGCCAUAACUCAGGUGAACACAUACUGAAGAGAAGGACUAAUCCCCUGGUGUAAAAGGCAGACGUGUUCAGAGGAGCCCAGCUAUCAGCACAGUUCAUUUUGUCAUGGCAAUGCUGUGCCGAGCAUCACUGAGAGGUGAGCCUGGGCACAGGUGUGUGUACAGACAGGUAUGCGCACAGAUGGAGUGAAGGUGGCCCGGGUGAUCUUACCCUCACAGCCUGUCCUCAACACCACCACUCAGCAGGGAGGGGACCGCAGCUGCUCUGACACUGCAGGGUGAGGUGUCACAGGGAGCUCUGAGACCAUAGCUGUCACUCAAGGACUCAUUAGCAAUGGAAGGGAGUCAGUGAAGCCUGCUGUGUUGUCAUCAUGCUGGAGAGGGUUGGCUGCAGCCCAAAUUAGCUUGCUUAGGGAGUGUGAAUCAAAAUGACAUGUAAUCUGACUGUUAAUGAAAAUUUCCUCUUGCUUCAGGCUUCAGAUUCCAUCCAGAGAGCUGUCAUUUGGAAGACAUGAUUCAUGAUUCUCUCUCUCCUCUCUCUCUCUCUCCUUUCCUCCCUUCCUCCCUCCCUUCCACCUCUCAUUUUACUUGCAUUUCAAGUUGAUAUCAAAUGUAAAAAUAAAUUUUAACCAGCAGUGCUUGA